rnacentral:pre_miRNA from 1 species
GAAAGAUGGUUAUCGUUUCGUAACUGAGCGUUUAAGAAACAAGAUAGCACUCUAAU